rnacentral:rRNA from 1 species
CUACGGGAUGCUCCAGUGAGGAAUAUUGCACAAUGGGGGGAACCCUGAUGCAGCAACGCCGCGUGGAGGAUGACGCAUUUCGGUGUGUAAACUCCUUUUAUGAGUCAAGAAAAUGACGGUAGCUCAUGAAUAAGCGCCGGCUAACUCCGUGCCAGCAGCCGCGGUAAUACGGAGGGCGCAAGCGUUACUCGGAAUCACUGGGCGUAAAGGACGCGUAGGCGGGUUGGUAAGUCAGGUGUGAAAUCCUACAGCUUAACUGUAGAACUGCACUUGAAACUACCAACCUAGAGUAUGGGAGGGGCAGAUGGAAUUAGUGGUGUAGGGGUAAAAUCCGUAGAUAUCACUAGGAAUACCUAAAGCGAAGGCGAUCUGCUGGAACAUAACUGACGCUAAGGCGUGAAAGCGUGGGGAGCAAACGGGAUUAGAUACCCGGGUAGUC